CACGGUCCAGACUCCUACGGGAGGCAGCAGUGGGGAAUAUUGCACAAUGGGCGCAAGCCUGAUGCAGCCAUGCCGCGUGUAUGAAGAAGGCCUUCGGGUUGUAAAGUACUUUCAGCGGGGAGGAAGGCGGUGAGGUUAAUAACCUCAUCGAUUGACGUUACCCGCAGAAGAAGCACCGGCUAACUCCGUGCCAGCAGCCGCGGUAAUACGGAGGGUGCAAGCGUUAAUCGGAAUUACUGGGCGUAAAGCGCACGCAGGCGGUCUGUCAAGUCGGAUG
rnacentral:rRNA from 1 species